GAACACUAGUUCUCGUGCGAGCACCGAAAUUAAGCAACGUCGAGCCUGGUUACUACCGAUAUGGGUGACCGCUUGUGAAUACCAGGUGCAGCAAG